rnacentral:tRNA from 1 species
GUGGCUGUGGCUCAGUGGUAGAGCACUUGCCUAGCAUGCUUGAGGCACUGGGUUUGAUUCUCAGCACCACA